AGGGCGUUAGCUCAAUUGGUAGAGUAGCGGUCUCCAAAACCGUUGGUUGAAGGUUCAAGUCCUUCACGCCCUGCCA
rnacentral:tRNA from 3 species